rnacentral:rRNA from 1 species
GCGACGCCGCGUGAGGGAUGAAGGCCUUCGGGUUGUAAACCUCUUUCAGCAGGGAAGAAGCGAAAGUGACGGUACCUGCAGAAGAAGCGCCGGCUAACUACGUGCCAGCAGCCGCGGUAAUACGUAGGGCGCAAGCGUUGUCCGGAAUUAUUGGGCGUAAAGAGCUCGUAGGGCGGUUUGUCGCGUCUGCUGUGAAAACCUGAGGCUCAACCUCGGGCUUGCAGUGGGUACGGGCAGACUAGAGUGCGGUAGGGGUGACUGGAAUUCCUGGUGUAGCGGUGGAAUGCGCAGAUAUCAGGAGGAACACCGAUGGCGAAGGCAGGUCACUGGGCCGCAACUGACGCUGAGGAGCGAAAGCAUGGGGAGCGAACAGGAUUAGAUACCCUGGUAGUCCAUGCCGUAAACGUUGGGCACUAGGUGUGGGGCUCAUUCCACGAGUUCCGUGCCGCAGCAAACGCAUUAAGUGCCCCGCCUGGGGAGUACGGCCGCAAGGCUAAA